GCCCCGCCCCAGGAGAGUGUUGCCUCUCCUGAAGACCUGGCGCUCCCUGCGGUGGGGAGGCCGUGGAGACAGAGCCCGCGGGAAGGCUGCACCUGCCUUCCGAAAGGUCCCUGGUAAGCACUACCUUGAGCUCCAAGAAGGUCACCUUGCAACACAUCUGUUAAAGAAAAUAUGGAAUACUGCUCUUAGCUUUCCCAUCAGGUAAAAUGUUUCAUUUCAUUUCACGUAUAUUUUCAUUUAUGA
rnacentral:lncRNA from 1 species